rnacentral:lncRNA from 10 species
CUGAAGGGAAGCAGAGGCCAUUUCAAUGCUCUGAAGAUUGGGGUAAGACCUCAGGUGCUACUGCAGGUUUUGCACAUUGUCUCUGAUGUCAUUGGUGAGGCAGUGUCCACACUGCCGGUGCUUUAGUUCUUGCAGGUCCUGGGCUUUGUAACUCUGCAGUUCUACAGUGAGGAGCUUCAGCUUCUCCUGAAAGCCAUCUGCCUCAUUGAGGUUGGGGGAAGAUGAGGUAGAUGUACUUUUCCCUCAUGCUCCUACUAAGUGCAAAUAAAUAACCUGGGUAUUUUAAUCAACUUAAGAAGACUCUGAAAGGUGGAGAAAAGACAGCAGACCAGCUAAGGACAUUGGGACCUGAGGAACGACUUGGAGGUAAGUUCACUGGGUCCUCCCUCCUCUCCUUCCUUCCUUCUUUCCUUCCUUCCCUCAUUCCGUCCCUUCUCCCCUCCCUCCUCCUCCCCUCCCUCCAUCCUUUCCUUCCUUCCUUUUUUCUUUCCUUCCUUCCUUCCUCCCUCCCUUCUUCCUUUCCUUCUUUCUUCCUUCCUUCCUCCUUCCUUCCUUCUUUUCUUUUUCUUUUGCUUCAUAUGUUCUAGAUUGGAUAAUAGAGAAUCCAGCAACCUAGAAAUGUUACUGGAUGCAGGCAAGAAAAGUCCGCUCUCUCUCUAGCCAAAGGACCAGGAAAGGGGCAGCCCAGCAAGACAGAACACUUUUAUAUGGUAACCACUCUACUCCAGCCAAAUACAACACAAAAUAAUGUAUAAUCUAUGGCCCCCAAUGCCGCCUGCCCCAGCAAAGAGAUUUUCAGCCUAGCCAGGCCAGAAGGAGGUCCGUAACACUUCCACUGGAGCUGUAUCAGAGGAGGCCAAAAUAAGUGUUCAUGCAUUGGAAGUCAACAUAGUGACUCUCCUCUAGUGCCAAUUCCCUCAAACAGAUAAAUAGAUUUCAUGUGAUUCUUAUACACAUGCCUGCAAAAUUUUUUGUAGAUAUAGACAAGAUUAUUCUAAAAUUUACAUAGAAAGGCAGAGGACUUGGAAUAGCUAAAGCAUGUUUUUGAAAAAGAAUAAAGUGGAAGAAACCAGUCAAUAAGUGCAGCAAUUUCAGCACUUAUUAUUUAACUACAGCAACCAAGAAGGUGUGACUAUUAGAAGAGUGAGAGUUUUUGCAGUGGCUGGUACCGGUUGUUCCUUUCCAUGUUUAGUGCUUCCUUCAGGAGCUCUUGUAAGGCAGGUCUGGUGGUGACAAAAUCCUCAGCAUUUGCUUGUCUGUAAAGGAUUUUAUUUCUCCUUUGCUUAUGAAGCUUAGUUUGGCUGGAUAUGAAAUUCUGGGUUGAAAAUUCUUUCUUUGAGAACGCUGAAUAUUGCCCCCCACUCUCUUCUGGCUUGUAGGGUUUCUGCGGAGAGAUCUGCUGUUAGUCUGAUGGGCUUCCCUUUUGUGGGUACUUGGAGUAUAAUAAAAAAUAAUAAUAAAAAAAAGAAGAGUGAGAGACACGUAGACCAAAAGGACAGAAAAGAAAAUCCAGAAAUAGGAUUUAGGGUAGAGUUAGGGUAGUCAGUAAUGUAGGCAACUGAUUUUUGACAGAGGUACACAUGAAUUGGUAGGGGAAUUCACAGAGGAAAAGAUAACAUUGCUGACAAAUGGUGCUGGAGGAAGUGGACAUACUCAGGCAAAAAACAAGCAGAGUAAACACCUUCACUUAAUUCUCACAUCUUAUACACACACAUAUACACACACACACACAAUCUCAAAAUGAAUCAAGGGCUUAAAUAUGAAACACAAAACUGUAAAACUUAUAGAAAAACAUAAGAGAAAUUCCUCAUCUGUGCUUUUUCUCCCCACUCCUGCUCUCCUUCCCCUUGUAGGAGACCACAGACUCAGCGGCUGCACUGGCCACUCUCCAGCAGGCCCAGGACAAUGGCGGGGCAGCCUCUUCACUGGACAAGGUGCCUCUUCAUUGGACUUGUCCUCAGGCAUGAGCUGAGAAAGACCCCAGGAGUCCUCCUCAGGAGAGGCCCCCAGGCAGGCUGGUAGACCAGGACCCCAUUGACAUCUCUGGCUGGGAGAAAGAAGUCAGCCCUGGCUUCUCUCCAUGAAGGGCCAUCCCUUUUUAAAAUGUCAGCACGAGCCCUUGGACCCAUCUCCUUGGGCCAGGACAGUAUCCCCAGCAUGCUCCUCAAGCUGUCUGCAAAGACCAGCUCAAGGUCCGGAAGACGGGGGCUGGAACUGGCCAGCGAGGUGCCUCCCACUCUCCUUUCCAGGGCCUUCUGAAAAAUAAACUACCUGUUAAAGACUGAGUUGUAUCCACCCCUCCAGAUUCCUGUAUUGAAGCCCUAAUCCCCAGUGGGAUGGUAUUUGGAGACAAAGAUUUUGGGAGGCAAUGGGGUUAGAGGAAGUUGUAAGGGUGGAGCUGAUAUGAUCUGAUUAGUGCCCUUAUGAAAAGAGACAGGAAAGACUUGCUCCUUCUUUCUCUGUCAUGUGAGCACACAGCAAGAAGGAAGCUAUCUAUAAGCGAGAGAAGACUCUCACCAGAAACUAACGUCAGAUUCUAGCUUCCAGAGUUGUGAAAAAAAAAAAAAAAUUUGUGUGUGGUGUAACCCACCCAGUCUAAGAUAUUUUCUUUCAGUAGCCCAAGCUAAGGCACUACUAUAAGGUGGGACCCAAAGUCCAAUCAUGCCAAUGAGGAGGCUGAGGGGCCGAGACCAGAAUCUGGCUGUGAUUAAGUGGAGGCCCGAUCAAUUGCACUAUUCUUGUUUGGGAAGAAACAGUCAAGAGAAGGAGAUGCAGAGAAUCAAGAAUGUCUCAGAAGCAAGCCCCUCAACAAAGCUGACACCUCCCUAAAUAGCUUGCCUAUCUGCCGCCAAGAUCACUGCAGGACCUCCAUGUAGCACAACUGAGAAAAACUGCUGAUGUCUCCCUGAAUCCCUGUGCUCUAAUGUGCUGAUGUUGGAUUUUCCACGUGGCAUCUGUAGAUGUGGCCAUUCAGUCCAUUUGACAACUUGCAAUUCUCACUGGAAAGGAAGGGAAGGUUUCCGGUUUUGCCUUGUCAGCCUCUGAAAGCCAUGUUAGUGUGAGUCCACUGUUGGAGAUGGAGCCAGGCAGACCGUCGGUGCUGUACCACCAAGUCUAAGGUUGGGACCCUGCACUGGGCUCCUCCCAAGGAUCCUCAGCCUCAGCACCCUCAGACCUUCCUGAUGGCCCCUAGUCUAUUCCUUUCUCUGUCUUCAUCAAAUGGCAGCAGACUCUUUCCUUAAUAAAACUAGAGCCUUUCUUGAACUCAAAAUAAAUAAAUGAAUGAAUUAAAGAACAAAGCAAAAUUUAAAACUA